AUCACUAUGGGGUUGAGCCAGGCCUCAGUGUUGAGCUGAACUGCUGCGGUUGGGUACAGGACUCUGGAAGCCAAAGAGACAAGAUACAGGGCUGUAGCAUCACAAGGAACUGCAGGCCAUCUUUGGACACUCUGAGGCAUCUCUACCUGUUUGGAGGCUAGUUGGAUGGAUGGAAAUGCAAGAAAACCUCCCUGGAGACCAGAAGUUGCCUGAGUACUCUCACGUGGGUCCUGUGAUAGGCCUGAAGAUGGGCCAGAAGCAGCAGAGAGAAGGAGAGAGGCUGGAUGCUGCUGGAAGCCUGGUCCAUGACAGCAUCCUCCAAAGCACUCUUCAGGCUAAAAUGAGCUUCAUCCAGCCUCAUCUUGCCAGUAACAAAUACAUCCGACAGCCAGUUGACUGUUGUAAUUCCUGGAAGAGGAACUUUGGUGGUCUGUCUUGGCCAAAGGUACCACGGGAAGUGUGAAUAUGUCUGUGCACUUGUGGCAGAGUGAGGCAGGCCCGGGGCUCAGGAGUUCUCUGUGCCAUUUUGGCCGACCUGCACAGCAACACUCCAGUACCUGUCCCGCUGCCCUACCUACCCCUAGGAAAAGCUGUAGAGUCAGUUGCCUAACACCAUCCCAUUUCCAAUCCCUUCUUCAACCUUCUUCCUCAAGUUCCUAUCUCUACCGUCCAUCCCAGGUCCCCAGUAUUUUUCUUGCAGGGGUCACAUGCCACAUUGCUGUGUAUCAUUUAGUCUGCACUUCACAUUUUGUCAAGCAUUUGAUAAAGUUGAUUGUGGUCUCUGUUCUAGAUGGCUGUACUGGCUGGUUUUGUGUGUCAACAUGACACAGGCUGGAGUUAUCACAGAGAAAGGAGCUACAUUUGGGGAAGUGCCUCCAUGAGAUCCAACUGUGGGGCAUUUUCUCAGUUGGUGACCAAGGGGGGCAGGCCCAUUGUGGGUAGUACCAUCUCUGGCCUGAUAGUUUUGGGUUCUAUAAGAGAGCAAGCUGAGCAAUCCAGAGGAAGCAAGCCAGUGAGUAAUAUCGCUCCAUGGCCUCUGCAUCAGCUCCUGCUUCCUGACCUGCUUGAGUUCCAGUCCUGACUUCCUUUGGUGAUGAACAGCAAUGUGGAAGUGUAAGCUGAAUAAACCCUUUCCUCCCCAA
rnacentral:lncRNA from 1 species